rnacentral:rRNA from 1 species
GCGCACCAGUCGAGAAUCCUCCACAAUGCGGGAAACCGUGAUGGGGGGAAUCCGAGUGCCCGUUGGCUAAUGCUGGCGGGCUUUUUCUCAAGCGUAAAAAGGCUUGAGGAAUAAGGACUGGGUAAGACCGGUGCCAGCCGCCGCGGUAACACCGGCGGUCCAACUGGUGAUCAGCAUUACUGGGCCUAAAGCGUCCGUAGCCGGAUGGUUGGAUUCUGAGUGAAAUUUCCCAGCUCAACUGGGAAGCGUGCUUGGAACACCCGCCAUCUUGGGACCGGGAGAGGGUAGGGGGUAGGCCCCGGGUAGAAGUAAAAUUCUAUAAGUCCGGGGAGGACCACCAGUGGCGAA